AAAGUAAAUAAAAUAAAGCGUAGACAUAAAGUAAAUAAAAAUAAAGCGUAGACAGAAAGUAAAUAAAAUAAAGCGAGACGGAAAAUAAAUAAAGUAAAGAGAGACGGAAAAUAAAUAAAAUAAAGCGAGACGGAAAAUAAAUAAAAUAAAGCGAGACAAGUAAAUAAAUAAAUAAAAGCGAUAAAUAAGAACCUGCUCCAAAUGGUACGUAGGCACAAGUCCGGAGGUCUUGUCAAACACAAAAAUAUAAUUAAUGAAUUC
rnacentral:lncRNA from 1 species